rnacentral:rRNA from 1 species
AGCUCCAAGAGCAUAUAUUAAAGUUGUUGCAGUUAAAAAGCUCGUAGUUGGAUUUCUGGUACAAUGCGCCUGGCCCGCGGCUAUUUAAGCCUGUGAGUGCCGGUGUGCGUUUGCCAUCCUUCUAGAAAACGUUUCUACCCUUCACUGGGCCGGACUCGCGAUCUAGAUCUUUUACUUUGAAAAAAUUAGAGUGUUUAAAGCAGGCUUUUGCUAUGAAUACAUUAGCAUGGAAUAAUAAUCUAGCUAUUUUGUUGGUUUCUAGUACUGAAGUAAUGAUUGAUAGGGAUAGUUGGGGGUGCUAGUAUUGGCCGGCCAGAGGUGAAAUUCUUGGAUUCGGUCAAGACUAACUUAUGCGAAAGCAUUCACCAAGGAUGUCUUCU